rnacentral:rRNA from 1 species
AUCCUACGGGAGGCAGCAGUGGGGAAUAUUGGACAAUGGGCGCAAGCCUGAUCCAGCAAUGCCGCGUGUGUGAAGAAGGCCUGCGGGUUGUAAAGCACUUUCGGCAGGGAAGAAAGGCUCAAUGUUAAUACCAUUGGGCUCUGACGUACUGCAUAGAGACCCGAUUUCCCCCC